rnacentral:lncRNA from 1 species
GCACCACUUUAUCAUCAUGAUUUACAACAGCUAGAUGAAUUUUCCAUGCUGCCCAUCCUAGAUCAUUCUCCAGCAAUUCCCCUACCGUCGUUUCAGCACUCACCGCAUGAAGUGAAUUCCCAAAAUAUUCCUUCGGAAGAGGUGGUUCCAUUCUCGUUCGGUUGUUUGUAGCCAGUUUGCAAGUUGUUCUCUGACCGUGUUGUAGUUGACGUGCACGAGUUAUAGAUCUCCAAACUAAUGCUGAUAAAGAUUGAAACGAAGAAAUUUUUCUUGUAUUAGACUCUUCAUUUGCCUUUGCUUUCAGUUUCAUUAUAGACUCAGCUGAAAAAUGGAAGAUUCUCUCUCUUAAAAUGGAUGUUUCAUAUCUGUGAACAAACUCCUCGUGAUGUUUGAAUGGAAGGUUGAUAAUCGGACCAUAACCUUGUGGAAACCAUCUAUUGUGGAUAGGUUGAUGUGAAAUCGGAACAAGAACAUGAAUAUCAUUUUGAAAUAUCUCAGAAAAUGAGUUAAAGAAAUUCCAAUAACCAGUCCCAUCACCUAUACAAUGAUUCAUGGAACAACCUAUAAAAACACCAUCCAAUAAUUCAGUUACUUGAAUAGUUAAUAAAGACAUGGUAUGACCAUCAUGGCUGACUGCUUUGUCAUGAUCAAAGAACGAUUGGACAAUGGGUGGGACAUCAACUGGUGAGAGAAUAUCAUUUAUGGUGAUAUCUAAAGUUGCAUGAAUAAAUCUAGCUCCGCGACUGUUUUUGCAAUCAACGAAAACAGUGUAAGAAUGAGGGUCUUCAGAUUUUUUAGUAACAAGACGACCAGACAGGGGAUAAUAAUGAAAAAGUGUGAGAGAAAGAGAGUGUUUGAGUUUGUCCACUAGGUUCUCAAUGAAGUGUUGUUGGUUUAGUGAUGAUGUUGGUUUCUUGAAGAGAAGUCCCUUUUGGAUAUAGUGUGUAGAUAACAUGGCAAUAUCCCAAUGUGUUAGAUAGCAUAUUUGGUUUGAGUCUUUGAUAGGGGGAUAAGGUUUAAUAAAACAUGCAGAAACAAUGUUUAGGGAAGGGAUCCUCAUAUUUUGGAGGUGAAGAAACGAGUCUCUUUUGAAGUUUUUUUUUUUUUUUUUGUUGUAUCAUUCAUGUGAAGAUAGUAGUAUUAAUAAACAAAUUAGAGAUAAUGAUUUAUUGUCUCUGUAGGAUCGAUAAGGAUGCUCAGAGGAAGGUGUCAGCAGCACGCAAAGCAAGCAAAUCAAUGGUUCAAUGCCUUAUCUAGAGCUUAGGACUUACCUAAUUAGAGAUUGUCACCACAUGUGUUUGAUUGUUGUUGGCUACGUGUUCAAACACUUGCUGAAAGCUUUGUCCAAUAAAAAUAGUUUGCUGACAAUCUUGUUAGUUUAUUAGUAAAGAUAUGUUUUGUUUCGAGUAAAUAGACAAUUACCCUUAAAAUUGUAAAUUUUAUAAAUUACUCCUUUGAAAUUAACAAAACUUUAAUUACUCAUGAAAUUUCACAACGUUAAUCAAUUUACCCUCUCCGUCAAAUUUUUCUGUUAGUGAACAUGACGUUUUUCAAAUACCCAUGAAGUUUUGCACUUAUGUGCAAAAUGUCCCCCAACUUAAAAAUUAAUAUUAUUUUUUUCUUAAAGACAAACGAUUAAAUAUUAAAGCUUUAGAGUUUGGAAAAACUACAUGCAUAUAUACAUCAAAAUAGGAAAAAAUGUGUAUUUUUAAAGUGACAAUAAUGGUUAUUUUUAAUAGACAAAUUAUUAUGUUUAUGGGUUUAUAGACAAACUAAUAAUCAGUUUUAAAUUUAUAUUUUCUCUUUCACCAUCUUAGUCUUUUAACUCCUCUAACUCCUUCAACAAUUUGCUCAAAUCAUUUAAACUACACAACCCCCAAUAUUUUCAUAUGAUUUGUUCUUGUUUACACACUUUAUAGAAAACUUAAUUCUAACUUCUUGUUUGUGCUUCAGGCAGAGAUAAUCAUUCAUCGUAUACAAUCUAGCUCACACCACAAUACUAUCAGACCGACAUAUCAUAUAUAGCAUAUUAAGUAAUAUUCAUGUAAAAAAGACACAAAUCAUAAGCAAAUGAAAUAUGUGAUCGGUAUGUAUAGAGGAAACACUUAUUGAGAAAUGUCAAACAGUUAGUCAUAUAUUUCUUCACCUUUGAAAUUAAUCCACAAAUCAUCUCAUUACUGUCACUUUAAAAAAUACACAUUUUCCCCCAUUUUGAUGUAUAUAUGCAUGUAGUUUUCCCAAAUUCCAAAAUUAAUAGUUAGUUUUAAUAUUUAACUAUCAAUUGUUUGUUUUUAAGAAAAAAUAAUAUAAAUUUUUAAGUUUAGGGGGCAUUUUGCAAAUAAGUGCAAAACUUCAGGGGGGUAUUUGCAAAACGUCAUGUUCACUAAGAGAAAAAUUUGACGGAUGAGGUAAAUUGAUUAACGUUGUGAAAUUUCAAAGGUGUAAUUGAAGUUUUGUUAACUUCAGGAGGGUAUUUGCCUAUUUACUCAUUUUGUUUCUUCAGGUGAGAAAAGACAUAUUUUUAUUAUGACUAUAAAAAUAAGAAUUUAAAAUAGGUUUAAUUGCAGUAGUUUUGAUGAUCAAAUUAUAAAAUAAGGCCGUCUAGCCUGAGGCAUUUAGCAUACACAAGUUAUUGAAUUUGAAGUAUCAUAUAAGUAUCAUAUACAAAUGAAUUUUUAUUGUCCCGUUACUUUUGAACGGAUUUAAAUCCGUCGCCACUUUCAACCAAUUAGAAUGCGGUAUUUUUUCAAUAAGUAAUGUCAUAUACAUUUUCUCUCUUCCAUUUGUCAAAUACCUUUUCUUUUUCUUUUUCCAUUAUAUAUUCAAGUAUAUUCCUUUUAUUUUUAAGGGAAAUUCAAGUAUUUUCAAUCAAAUCUUUUUAUUAUUACAUGGUCGAUUAAGUUUUUUUUUUUUUUUUUUUUAAAUUAUACAUAAAAACAACAUUAAUAUCUUCCCUCUUGAAACAAAAAACACAUUUACAACUUAGCUCCUCAUCAGUUCUUUCAAGAUCUGGUCAUCAAUUACAACGCCGAAUUCGCCAUCGCCGACGAGAAGAAAGGUUGUCAUAUCUGUGAGGUUGUCGUUACUCGCAUCCUUUGACACAUAAAUUCAUUUUCAAUGGAUCAGGCAAGGUAAUGGAAUAUAUUAUAUGAAUCGUACAAUGUUUCUUUCAUUUGAGUUCCAUUAUUUUAGAUGAAACAGUGUAAUCUAGAAUUUCAUGAACAUAUCGAAUCUAAAUAUGUUAUUAGUUUUAGGAUUAUUAAGAUUUUAGUGCGUAAGUUUGAUUAAACCAUAUUUGAUUAAUAGAAAAAAAACAAGGUAUUUUAUACUUUUAACAUAUAUUCCACAGAAAUGGAAAUGAAACAUCUUUAUUCACAUAUUUCGACAAAAUUACACACAUUAUAUUAAGGAUACAAAUGAUAUCGAUAAAGGAAAGUAAACCACUAUCUUAAAAACAGCCUUGGAAUGGUAGGGUAACCACCCAAAACCAUAACAUCCUCCGAGUGGAAACACAAAGAUAUUUGUGUUACAAAAUUCCUUUCGGAGGAUGUUCCGAGAAACCCCAAUCUUCCUACCAUCAUUGAUUAAAUAAUAGACUAUAGAUUUCACACAAUGGUGUUCACAUAGAAGAAGAAAACGUUGUUUUCCUUUACUAUCUCACUUUUUGGAUGAAACGGUGUAGGUGUACACCUACUCAAAUUGGGGGUGGACGUAAUGAUGAAUUUUGGAGCUCGUCAAUUCUUUCACCCUUAAGACAGAGGCCUUAAUGCAAGACAUGUUGAAAAAGAACCAACUUUCCCAAAGUUAAAAAUAAACUUAGUAUAACACACAGUGAGAAAAGAGUGAUGCGAGAUAUAUGGCUUAGUGUGAGAAAGAAAGCAGUACUAAAACAUGUUGUGAAAAGAGAAAUAGGAAUAAUAUGACUUAGUUUUUUAGAAUGAAGGCAAUGGAUAAUAGCCAUUAUAUAGUAAUCUAACUACCACCUUUAAAGUCAUUUCAAACUUGUGUUUGGAUUGAGGGUUUAGGAGGGGAGGGUUCACUUUUAAUUUUUAAAUUACGAACGGUGUAAAAUGUUUUUUUAAAAUAAAUUAAAUGUUUUUGAAGUAUUAUAUAAUCAUUUAUCAUGUUGUUAAUUAAAUUUUAUAAAAAUCAUUUUACACCGUUAUUGCUAUUUUGUUAAAGAUAAGGGAUCAAAGGUGUAUAUAUUUUUAAAAAAUAAUAGAAGGCCAAAAUUGCUAUAUUUUUGCAAUGAUUUGUAAAGUUGAGAGGUAAACUGUUAUAUUUUUUUAUUAGGGGUCAAAAUUGUAACUUUUAAAAAGUUAAAUGGUCAAAUGUUCACUUAAACCAUUAUUAUAAUUGAAGAUAAUGUAAAAUGUAUCUUAAUUGAUGUGGUUGUUUUUGUUUUUUACGAACAAAAGAUAUAAGUUGUUGAUUUAGGUAAGAGUAAUAAUAUUUGUACAAUUAUUUAUGAUAAUUUUUAGAAUAAUUUUAUUUUUCUCUCUUUAAUUGGUCAAAAACAAUAAGAGAAAGAGUAAAAACAUAUAAUGAAGCUCCGAUACGGAUACGGGUGCGGGUACGAUACGAUAUGGAUACGCGGAUACGCGAAUUUUUUUAAAUUUAGGAUAUGAUACGGUCAGGAUACGUUAACAAAAAUUUAUAAUAAAAUUUAUCUGUAUGUAAAAUACUAGAAGAAAAGUAACACUAAUUACUCUUCAUUAUUGUAUUAUUAUAAAAGUUACAAUUUUUAAAAAAUAAUACAUGUGAUCAAAAUAAUUUUUUUGAAAGUUUUCUUAUAAACCAUAUUACAUUUUCAUAUGUUGCGAUAUCGAGAGAAACAUCAUUAAAAGAACUCAACGCAAAUUUUAUGUGAUGUUGAUUAACUAAAUCACCUCUCUCGCUACGUUCAUCCACAAGAAGUAUAAUUUUAAGUGAUUCAUCAGUAAACAAUUCUAUUAAUGUAUAUCUAAAAUUGAAUCUUAUACAUCUAUAAUGAAUUUUUACAACGUUGUCUCACUUUUUUACUCUUCAUCUUUUUCUAGGAUACGUAUCUUUGAAGUAUUUUAGAAGUAUCCUUGUUUACACAUGGAGUAUCAAAUAAGUAUCCGAUAAAAUAUUUAUUAAAAAUUAAAAUAAUUAAUUCUGAUACUUUGUGGGUACAUAUUUGCGAGUACCCGUGGAGUAUCGGUAUCCGAUACGGGUACGUCUCCAUUUUGGAGUAUCCGAGCUUCAUAGAAACAUAAUAAAAAGUAUGAUAUAAAGUUGUUCCAAAAUAUGUCCCAAAAUAGUUAUACGAAUAUUAUCUCUCUUUUAUUUGCCUAUUAUUUUCUUCUUAUUUUGACAAAAACAAAACUAUUUUCAUUCAUUAAAAUUGAUAGAGUACAUUAUUCAACAGCACUAAAAACGUAAAGGAUUAAUCUGCAAACAAACUCAUAACAUCCAAGUUAAUAGUAUACAAGGGUAAAUUAUUGAUAAAUAAUUAAUCUUUCGAUAAAAAUUAAAUGAACACCAUAACAAGAUUGAAAAUCAAACAAUAUUGCACAAAACAACAAACAACACAUGACUACUUUGAAACGACUAAAUCACGAAGAAAAAAACCUAAAUCUAUAUAUAAAUCACUUAUUUAAAUUGAAAUAGAAUUAUUUUUCAUCACCAUUAAAGAGCAUUAUAGCAUAUUCAAAUACUAGAACAAAGGAUUAAACACAAACUGAAUUCAUGAACUCUUCAUUUGUUUCCAGCACCAUCAUUUUCUUAGGUGAAAGACACACUUCAAGAUCAAUGCUCCCUCCUCCUUCUUGACCUGGAUAUGAAAUUACUUUUCCAUCAAAUUUGUUAGCAUAUCCACUUCUAACUGCCAAAGCUUUUCCCAUUCCGAAUUCAUUUCCAUACGUAUUAAACCUCGGUGAACCACUUAUCAUCACAGUAUAAGGAUCAAAGAACAAAUCCAUUCGAUACAAAAAAGGAGAACGAAACCACUUUUCAACCGACCUACGCACCACUUUAUCAUCGUGAUUUGCAAUAGCCACAUGAAUUUUCCAUGCUGCCCAUCCUAGAUCAUUCUCCAGCAACUCUCCUACCGUCGUUUCAGCACUCACUACAUAAAGUGAAUUCCCAAAAUAUUCCUUAGGAAGAGGUGGUUCCAUUCUUGUUCGGUUGUUUGUAGCCAUUUUGCAAGUUGUUCUCUGACCGUGUUGUAGUUGACGUGCAUGAGUUAUAGAUCUCCAAACUAAUGCUGAUAAAGAUUGAAACGAAGAAAUUUUGUUUGUAUUAGACUCUGCAUUUGCCUUUGCUUUAAGUUUUGCUAUAGAUUCCACUGAAAAAUGGAAGAUUCUCUCUCUUAAAAUGGGUGUUUCAUAUCUGUGAACAAACUCAUGGUGAUGUUUGAAUGGAAGGUUGAUAAUUGGACCAUAACCUUGUGGAAACCAUCUCUUGUGGAUAGGUUGAUGUGAAAUGGGAAGCAGCAGGAACAUCAUUUUGAAAUAUCUCAGAAAAUGUGUUGAAGAAAUUCCAAUAAGCUGUUCCAUCACAAAGACAAUGAUUCAUGGAACAACCAAUGAAAACACCAUCUACUAAUUCAGUGACUUGAAUAGACAACAAAGACAUGGUAUGACCAUCAUGGUUGACUGCUUUGUCAUGAUCAAAGAACGAAUGGACAAUGGGUGGGACAUCAAUGGGGGUGAGGAUAUCAUUUAUGGUGAUAUCUAAAGUUGCAUGAAUAAAUUUAGCUCCGGGACUGUUUUUGCAAUCGACGAAAACAGUGUAAGAAUCAGGAUCUUCGGAUUUUUUAGUAACAAGACGACCUGAGAGGGGAUAGAAAUGGAAAAGCGUGAGGGAAAGGGAGUGUUUCAGUUUCUCCACCAGGUUCUCUAUGAAAUGUUGUUGGUUUAGUGAUGAUGAUGUUGGUUUUUUGAAGAUAAGUCCCUUUUGGUUAUAAUGUGUAGAUAACAUGGCAAUAUCCCAAUGUGUUAAAUAACAUAUUUGAUUUGAGUCUUUGAUUGUGGGAUAAGGUUUAAUAAAACAUGAAGAAACGAUGUUUAGGGAAGGGAUGCUCAUAUUUUGGAAGUGGAGAAACAAGUCAGUUUUUGAAGAUGUUUUUGUUUGCAUCAUUCUUUGGAAAAUAGUAGUAUUUAUAAACUUGUUUCCUUCCUCCUGCCAUGUAUUCUGCGCUAAUAUAAUACUUUGGAUUAAUCUUUUGAAGAUAGUAGUAUUAUUAAACUAAUUAGAGAGUGAUUUAUUUUCCAAUAUUUUCCAAGGACCUCAUUGGAGGAAGAAAAAAUGGAUACCUAUUAAUUAAGGGACAAUUAUAUAAAGAUUCUCUCAUGAGCAACUAACGGGUCUCACAUUCAAAAGAAAUAAUAAAACAUGUAGAAGUUGGUCUCGCGUUCAAAAGAAGUAAUGAAUUACUUUUGUAUAAUGAUGUAAAGUUAGUGAGACUUAUUUAGAUACUUUUCAAUGAAGCUCUUAUUAGUGUAUUGUCAUUGGAGUCAUAUAACUCUUAAUAGAUACUUUUAUUAAAAAUAUAUAAAUAAACGAUAUGCAGACGUGAAGUUCAUUUAAGAGUCCUUAUUAGUUUACUUUCAUUGUGGAUGCUCUUAGCGGCACGUAAUGGCGGGGAGGACUAACAUGGGGCUUAGGACUUACCUAAUUAGAGAUUGCCACCACAUGUCUUUGAUUGUUGUUGGCUUCGUGUUCAGACGCUUGCCGAAAACAAGUCCAAUAGAAAAGGUUUCAUGACACCCAAAAAUAUUUAGAUGAGAUAAUCAACUCUCUUCAGAUUUAAUCAAAAGUUAUAGAUUUGAAUCCACCCUCGCUUGCAGCAGCCCUACAAGUCUUGGGAAUUUAAAACACCCUCCAUUUUUUUAAGGAUAAAUUAAUAAAAUACUUACAUUUGAAACCAAAAUAAUAUUUCCAUUUGAAUUUUUUGAAGAUGAAUGAAAUUUCACUUAAACUACCGUUAAAACCAAAAAAAAAUAUUAGCAUAAAAUUGAUUUUUAAUCAAUGAUUUUUUUUUCAAACAGGUUAACGAUAUAAAUAGUUGAAUUAUAUAAGCUUUUGUUUCCAUAAACAUAUCAUAUUUUAUUUUUAAUCCCUCAAACAUUAACAAAUUUUGGGACCCUGAAUAUUUUUUAUAAAAUUGGUCUUGCCAUUAAAAGCAAUUAACUAAUGAAUUUUUUUUUAUUAAGAAGAAUUAACGAAUGAAUAUGUGACACUAUAUGCGGGGCUUGUUUUAUCUACCCCUCAAAAAAAAUGCGUGGCUUGUUUUAUCUAUCCUGUAUGACCACGUGGUUGUGCAGACUGGCCUACAGCAUGUGUCGGUACGUCAUAUUCAAGUGAUGAAAUCUCGCCUAUUUUUUAAGAUGAGUGUUAUUUGAACAACUAAUUUGGUGACAAUUUAUUUGACAACUAUAUUUUACAAAGAAAAAAGUGGUAUUAGCACGGAAAUAAUAGCAAUAGAGAUAUAAAGUAGAAAGUAAUAUGAGUAUGAGAGAGAAAUUUGUUGCAAAAUUGUCACUAAAUAGAUGUUCAAAUAUCAUUUCUCAUUUUUUAAUUCACAACGAUUACCACGAGUAAGAGAUAUAAUAAUUUCAUCGUAAUAAAGCAACCUAAUAACCCAAUACCAGCGGCAAGGAAAGCAAGCUCACUGAAUAAUGAUAAGGUUCAGCAAUAAUGGAGUUUUUUUUUGUCGGGAUUCGAACUCCAACCUUACAAUCUUGUAUAAUAUGCAUUGUUCCUGUCAACUGAGCUAAACUCACGAGAACGGAUAUUAUUUUUUAUAUGAUAAAAUAUCUCAAUCCUUAAAAAGAAAAUUAAGUCAUAAAUUAGGUGUCUUUAGUUUUUACUACCGUUAGCUUGGGAGGAGGAAUGCGUGGGGGAGUGUGUAGUAUUAUUAAAUAACAUUAUUUUGCAGGUUGAGGUUAAUGACGGGUGGAGCUGGCUUCUAGAUCCUACACAUGGAUAUUUGGUCCGGGAUGCCUAUCGCUUUAUUACCAAUUUUGAGGAUCAUGCAGAUAGGAGGAAAAUUCGGGCGAAGGUAUCUCUCUUUAUGUGGUGCCUUCUUCGUAACAGAUUACCGACGCGAGCAAAUUUAUUUAGGUGGAAUAUACUUUCAGCAGCUGACUCUUUGUGUGCGGCUGGUUGUGAGGUCUUGGAAACAGCUCGACAUCUAUUUUUGGAAUGCGAAACAUUCGUUACUUUAUGGUAUCAUGUGUGGAAAUGGUUAGGCUUAUACUCGAUGUCUCCUUGUGAGUUACGUGAAAAUCAUCUUCAGUUUUUCAAUAUGGCGGGAUUACCGCGGUGCACUCAAUCUUUGUUAAAAGGUAUUUGAUUUGCUUGUGUUUGGGUCAUUUGGAAGGAUCGGAAUAACCGUAUCUUUAAAAAUGUGGCAUCACAUCCUUAUGUUCUCAUUGAAAAAAUCAAGAUGACAUCUUUUUUCUGGGUGAAAGACAAACAACCAUCCUUUAUUUAUAGUUAUUAUGAUUGGUGGAAACACAUGUUACUUUGUAUGGAUGUUUACCGGUAACUUAUUUUCGAUUGGUUAUGAUGGUGCCCCUCUUUUUUGGCACUUGCUUGGACUUUGUAAAUUUUGAUCGAUGAUUCACUUUUUACACGCCUUAUGCAGGGUGGAUCAUUGUUAUUAUUAAUUAAUAUAUAUCAUUUUGGUUUGAAAAAAAAUAUAUCAAAUAUAAUAUUAGCAUAAAAUUGAUUUUUAAUCAAUGAUUUUUUUUUCAAACAGGUUAACGAUAUAAAAAGUUGAAUUAUAUAAGCUUUUGUUUCCAUAAACAUAUCAUAUUUUAUUUUUAAUCCCUCAAACAUUAACAAAUUUUGGGACCCUGAAUAUUUUUUAUAAAAUUGGUCUUGCCAUUAAAAGCAAUUAGCUAAUGAUUUUUUUUUUUUUUUUAUUAAGAAGAAUUAACGAAUGAAUAUGUGACACUAUAUGCGUGGCUUGUUUUAUCUACCCCUCAAAAAAAAUGUGGCUUGUUUUAUCUAUCCUGUAUGACCACGUGGUUGUGCAGACUGGCCUACAGCAUCUGUGGGUACUUCAAAUUCAAGUGAUGAAAUCUCCGCCUAUCUUUUAAGAUGAUCCUUAUUUCAACAAUCAAUUUGAUGACAAUUUAUUUGACAACUAUAUUUUAUAAAAAAAAAAAAAAAAAAAGUGGUAUUGGCACGGAAACCAUAACAAUAGAGAGAUAAAGUAGAAAAUAAUAUGAGUAUGAGAAAAAGUUGUUACAAAAGGUAUCACUAAAUAAAUGUUCAAAUAUAAUUUCUCAUUUUUUAAUUCACAACGAUUACCACGAGUAAAAGAUAUAAUAAUUUAAUCGUAAUAAAGCAACCUAGUGCAACCACCCAGUACCAGCGGCAAAGAAAGCAAGCCCACUGAUUAAUAAUAGGCUUAAUUGCACUUUUGUCUCCCUAUGUUUUAAAAAGUUGCGGUUUUGGACACCUAACUAAUUAAAAUACAAAACAGCCCCCUAUGUAUUGGAUCUUUGGCAGUUUUGGCCCCCUAACUAAUUAAAAUACAAAACAGCCCCCUAUGUAUUGGAUUUUUGGCAGUUUUGGCCCCCUAAAUCAAUUUUGACUCGGUCAACGCUGACGUGACACUUCAAAGCCUCCACGUGUGCAUUGUUUUAAUUAAAAAUAAAUAAAAAAAGCCACAUAUAAAUUAAAGAAUUAAAUAAAUGAAAAAAACAACAAAUAAUUAAAAAAAAUAAAAAGGAAAGAACAAAAAGAAAGGAAAUUGUGUUCCAAAAUCUGAUUCUAACUCUUCUUCCUCUAUCUCUCUCUAAAACACUGAUUCAAGAACCUGCUCCAUUGACAGAAGCAUGGAAAAAGUGGAAAAAGGAUGAGUAGCUCAAUGCAAGCACGAUAAUGAAAUAAUGUUCUAUUGAACGAAACGAAAAUUUCAUUUUUAUCAAAAUAAAAAGGAGCAUAUCACAUGCACUUUGACAUAUAUAAAGGGCACAAAACAAGACAGCUAUAUUAGUUGCAUGUUGCUUAUACAUAACUUGAAUAAGAAUUACACCUUCAUUGUUCCCUAACAAUUCAAUAGCCUGAUAUGUUUAUCAUAUAAAUUCUUUUUUUUUCUGCCUUACUCUGUCGUUUCCUAUCUGUAUAUUUAUUAUAAACUGCUUAGUUAUUUGUUAAUUUGCAGUUAUAAAUGCAAUAUUAUCAGUGUCAACAUGAAUAAUGCAAGAAUAUCUGAAUAAUCUUUAAUAGUAUGAAUAUCUAUUCUUUAAUCAAUUCUUGAAUCAGUUAAAAAGUGUUUUAAAACUCCUCAUCCGAGACACAAUAACUUCUACGUGUUACCUUGAGUGCAUGAAUAAGAACUCCAUGAAUAAGUAAAUCGUGACACGUUUUCCUUUGAAUUGCAACCAACUGAUUUAGGGUUUCCUCAAAUCGUGUCACGAUUUUGCCAUCGUGACACGUUUUCCUCAAUGUCGAAGCAUGUUUUGGUCUUCUAAAAUCGUGUCACGUUUUUACAAAAUCGUGACACGUUUUCUUUCUUUGUAUUUUCUUCAAUUUUCUGCUCUUUUUGCUGCAUAAGUUGCCUUGUGAACUCCAAAUUGUGAUCAAAAUACAUAUAAAAUUACGUAAUGACGAGAUGUUAUCAAUAGACCUCCGUAAUCCAACGGUCUUUUUUUAAAGGAUUAAAAUUAUCAAAAUUUGACCAAAUUUAAUAAGAAAAUAAGUUAAGGGACGUGUUUGAGAGAGUUAAGACUUAUUGGACCAAAUUGAAUAAAAGAAAUAAAUUAAGGGGCCGGCAAAUCAAUUAAGCCUUUUUUUUUAGAGAAAAGUGUUUAUAAUAUUUCAUUAAUAAUAAUGGAUAAGAAAAUGGCUUCUCCUGCCAACGCAUGAGCCGCCACAUUCGACUUGUCGCCUAGUGAACUUGACCCUGAAGUUUGUAAAAUGUACAGAGAACAUCUCCCUGCAAGCCUUCAUAAUGCUUCCAAAUUUUGUGUUGUCUGUAUGGCAUGAAUGGAAAGCAUCCCUAGUCACCUUUGAAUCAAGUUCAAACUCAACAUUAUUAAAUUGCAUAUCUUGCAUUCAUUGAAUAGCAUGGAACAAUCCUAAUCAUGGGCGAUUUUACCCCCCAGCUAGCUCGGGCACGCGUCCGGGCUCAACCCAUACUUUCUUUUUAUCGUUACGAGAAAUUUACAAGAAAUUUGACUUUUAGUGACGGCCAAAAUCCGUCACUAUAGGGAAAAUUUCCGUAGCUAAAUCUGUUUGUCAUUGCUAAAUGACUGUCACUGCAUGUUUUCCAUCUUUACCUACGGAAAAAAAUCGUAGGUAAUUCUAAGGAGACCAUUUUAAAAACAUUUUGGACCUCUACCUACGGUUGCGGCUGUCACUAAAACUUAUCGUUGUUUUAUUUUGCCCAGGCUCCAAAAAAAAUCUAGCUCCGCCACUGGUCCUAAUGCUUCGCCAACAUUCAUGGGGCAAGGAUUCAAAAUGCAUCAGUUUGGCUAACACAUAAAGUUUCGGUUUCAUCACGUAAACAAAUCUCGAUACCUGUCCUUCGAAAUUGCUCCGAAAAGGCCGCGUCCACGUUGCACUUAAACCUCCCGAGCCUUGGCGGUUGCCACUGCUGAACAGCAUUGCUGAUACGGACAGUCUGUUGCUACAACACAGUUUGCUGGACCGUGACAGCAGCCAGCUGCUGGCCAACAUUAUGCUGAGAAACGUGCGGCUGAACCGUAGCAGAAUGCGCGUUUAGCUGCGAUACAUUAGCCUUCUGCCAGUCGUCAAUUAACCCCUGAGCUCUCUCAACAACAACAACACUGAGCUCAGUGACAUCCUCCCAAAUUUUAAGGUUUCUAUAUUUCCAUAAAAACAUAAAGCAGCAAAAUGUUGAUUAAGUUGCACAAACAAGUUGUGAAGCAAAUAAAAGGCUUAAUACAUGCUUUGGUCCCUUAACUUAUUUUUGAAUUUCAUUUUGGUCCCUUAACUUUAAACCGUCUCAAUUUGGUCCCAUAACUUUACCUCUCUUUACCUAAGUGGUCCCUUCUGUUAGUUUUUUUAACAGAAGGGCCACUUAGGUAAACAGAGGUAAAAUUAUGGGACCAAAUUGAGACGGUUUAAAGUUAAGGGACCAAAAUAAAAUUCAAAAAUAAAUGUUAAUAAAUGUUGUAAUUUUGAACUUAUUUCUGGUUUUCUUUUUACUGUGAUAAUUAAUUAGCUUUGAAAUUUUAAUAUACUUAUGAUAAGAAUAAGUAACUAGAGAUAAAGAAAAUAAAAAAGAGAUAAGCCAUGGAAUUAUAAGAAGCUUGCCUAGAUUUCUAGGGAGGUUUCUUUUCCUCUUUAAAAUAGAAGGAUUUUCAUUUGAUGAACUUGUUGUAUUUUCAUGAGUGUGCUUUCCAAUCCGAUUGAACAGCAUAAAAUUUUGAGCACUUCCACUUAUUCUCACUGUGGUUCCUACAAAAGUGCUUCUUUAUCCCUGUUAAAUCUCCCAGAGCCCUUGAAGGAUGAUUAUGAACACGGGUCUUCUCUGGACACACAUACACUCUCUUCCUUAUUUCUUUACUUGUUCUUUGUUUCAGCUUCCAAGGUAGGUUAUAUCCACGUCGAUGAAGUUGAAGAUUUUGAUUCCUUUGAAAAUCCUUUUAAACAGAUUUCACACACGAAUCUGUUUGUUGCCAUCAAUGGUUUUGGUGAUAAAGAUAUCACUUCUGCUUCAGGAUGUGCAUGUGCAUAUAAUUUAAUCUAUGAAACACUAACAUAGACACAAAAUAUUGAUGCAGACACAUAUCAACACGAUUAAUAACUCGAGAAAAAAAUUAAUUUAUUGAAUAGAAAUAUAUGUUUUGAUUUGUUGGAAACUGAACAACCUUUCAAUCUGAAGUGUUAUAUGUUACAUAGUAUAUAACAAAUAAUUUGCUUCUUAAUUAUUAUAUAUAUAAAAAAAAAAAAGCUUAAUACAUGCUUUGGUCCCUUAACUUAUUUUUGAAUUUCAUUUUGAUCCUUCAACUUUAAACCGUCUCAAUUUGGUCCCAUAACUUUGCCUUCGUUUACCUAAGCGACCCCUUCUGUUAAAAAAAUAACAGAAGGGACCACUUAGGUAAACGGAGGUAAAGUUAUUGGACCAAGUUGAGACGGUUUAAAGUUAAGGGACCAAAAUGAAAUUCAAAAAUAAGUUAAGGGACCAAAGCAUGUAUUAAGCCCAAAUAAAAAAUGGCCUCAAGUAAAAUCAGUUUGCAUAGCUGCAUGUUGGACAUCAAACCACAUACCUGUUGUACAAGUUGAAUGAUAGCCAAGUCUUGUGUAAGGUUAGCUGCAACAUAACAUUUUUGUCAAUUUGUGAAUAUGGUUUUGUCUUGUUUUUUGAGAAAUAAGACAUUAAUUGAUUGUGUAUAUUUUAACUAUUGGUGGCCAAUAUUUAUUUAAAACAUUAAUGUGAAAAAAACUGGAUGGGUGAAAAGAGUUUGAAAGAAAAAGAAACACUUUUAUUAAUUUUUAUCAAGUUUGUUAGUUCAAUUAGGAUUUAAUUAAUCAUUAUUUUAGCCAAGGUUUUGAUUAACUAGAAGAAAAAAAAUGAAGAUAGCACUGUCAAUUAUCAUUACUUUUCCAUUUGAUAAAGAAGUGAUUAGUGUUCGAACUCUGGAUACUCCAUUUAUUCACCUUAAAAAAGGUGAAUUUUAAUCAUUAAAUUAAUUAAUAAAAAAAAAAGUGAUUAGUUCCGAACAAAUACAUGGUUUUUCAACUUCUUAUAUGGUUCACAAUAAUUUUUAUUUAAGUAGUUAUAUUAUAAUUAAAUUUCCGGUAGUAAUUGUAGUUAGACUAAUUCGAUGCUUUGGUGUAGUAAUUUCCGGUAUUAAUUGACAUAGUGUACUCUUGAGGUUCUAUUCUUACAUUUUUUAUGCUAGAUAGAAUAUUUUGUUUGAUGAAUAUAUUUCAUUUUAUCUUCUUAAAAAAAAAAAUUGAGAGUGUAAAGGAACUAAAAAGAGUAGUAAUUAUACACUAGCUGGCAAUUUCUUUGUUAAAACCGGUUCUGUGACCAAAUUCGUAACAAAGCACGUAUGACGUAUCAAUGUUACUAUGUAUAAUGAAUGUAGAGAAUUGUUGUUUACACAUUUAAUAAGGUUGUGUCAUACGAGUAAAUGACGUUUUUGCCCUCUCGGCAGUUAACUACCGAGAAAUUUGAAUUCCGGCUGCAGUUAACUGCCGAGGAAAACCUCGGUAGUUAACUGCAUAAUUCUAAACAUUUCCAAGCCAUUUUUUCGGCCAGUUUUUACCUGUAAUUAAACCAAAGUAUUUUCAAAGGCAAAAUAAUUCAUACAAAUGUGAAACUCGGACAUAAACAAGAUAAAUACAAUAUCUUUUACAAUUGUCCAUAAUUAAAUUAAACCGACAUUUGGUUCAAAUUACACAAACAUUUGAAAUUCAUCAAAACGUUACAAAGUGUCCAUAAUUAAGUGUCCAUAAUUAAACAACUCAUUACACAUCAUUAAAUUAAAUCCCUACUUACAUUCAACACAAUUGCAUGUGGAACGAACAUACAUAUAUAAUAUAUUAUCUUCCACCAUAUUCCAAAACAUAAAUCCGACGUCGUCAUCGUCGCGAAUAAGCCAAGGCAUAUAGCUUGCCGUUUUCCAUGCGUAUUCAUCUCUAUCUUCUGCUAGAUCUAUGCAUGACAUUUGACCAAACAAGUGACGUGUAUAUUGAUUUUCACCAAGAUGCUCAAAAUAAGUGUUAAGUUGUGCCUUCAAAUCGUCAAGAGAGUCUGUCGGAGUUAUCAUAACCUUAACCGUCUUUUUAAACGCAGAGUACCUAACACGCCCUUCAAUUUGUGCAACCUCAAACAUGUCUCACUUGAAAAAAGCUUUAAGAAAAGAAUCAUAGAUUAGAACAAAAUUAAAUGGAAUGUAAUAACAAAUAAAUCAAAUACGUAAACAUUAAUAAGCUAUAAAUAAGUAUUGCACUAGUUUCACCACAUAAAAGUCAUAUUAUCAUAUAUAUAUCAAUAUAAAUUACAUAAUGUUACUUAUAUAUUGGCCACAAAAAAUUGGCGUUAUAAUUUCGACCCCAAAAUAUACGUCGGUGUAAUUUCUACCAAAAAAAAGGACUAACACCGACCAAAAAAUCACUCAUUAAAGAUCAAGUGAUUGGAGAAGAUCAAGUGACAUAAAAUCUUCCUCAUCUUCCGCAAUAACUUCAAAUUGUUGCUUUGGUUUUUCGGGAGUGUCCAACAAAAUAGGCGCCGCUUUGUUUGACUCCUUUUGUGGUUUCGACGGUUUGUUUCCACUUUCAAUAGCCAUGAGCUUUCGGAACAACUCAUAUUGAUCAAAAUACUCAUCUUCCCAAGUCACUGCAUCUUUUUUCUUGUGAUUGUGCCACUCCAUAGAUGAUGGAGGUAGUGGACAACCAUUCUUCAAGGAAAUAAGCACGAAAUGAUUCGGAAUUGCCCUAAGGCACAAGAUGAGAGUUUUUUGAUUACCCGGCGGUGGUGGCCCUCUUAGUGGGAAAAAAGAUUCCGAGUUUCCAACUUCAAGAUUUGUCAACACGACCACACACGUUUUGUAAUAAUUAGCAACAAUGUGUCCCAUGUCCGGAAAAGUCAACCACUUAUCAACAAGAUGUGCACAACUUUUUGUAGCAAUUUCGCAUGCACAUGGUAGCCCAUAAGAUGUCCUUUGAACACAACCACAAAUGUCAUUGUCCAUGCACAAUGUUUCCCUACAACGUGUCUCUUCCAAAGCAAUGUUGUCCAAAGCAUAUCUAGACACAUGACCACCUAACACCGAGUACAAAGUGACAUCUUUGAAUCUAUAUUUCAACACGCUAACGCUGUGACCAAAGGAUGUUUGUAUAGCAGUGAACUGAAGCAACAACAUGUCAUGUAUUUUCUCCCAACAAGUACCCAAAUCACCCACACUAUUGUCCAAGUAUUUCUUCAAUAAAGCAUGAGCCGAUUCGACCCUGUUCGUGGUCCUGCAACCAAGAUGCAACACAUGGCCUGUCCAUGCCCUCACAAUUUUCUCCUUCACUUCAUUCAAGGUGGUCAUGGCAUAAUUUUUUUAAAAUUGGGAAAUCACUACAUGAAUCUUGGAACUCCAUUAAUGCAUUUGCAUAUAACUGUUGAGUGGGCGAUUCAACCAUAGCUUUCCAUGCCCUCAUUAUCUUCUUGACAACAUCGCGAUUACUCACCUCUUUCCCAUCCUUUUUUCCUAAAGGAUAUUUACAAUCUAAGACACACCUUUGUUUAACAUUUGCUUGCACAUGAAAGUAACAAUUCAUUGCAUAAUUUUCGGGAAAAACAUUUGCAAUCGUUUUCAUCAAAGACAUAUCCAUGUCGGUAACAAUCACCUUAGGCAUAUUCAUCUUUGACGAAAGAAGUUUACGCAACAUUUUUAAAACCCAAACAAAGUUUUCCUCUUUCUCAUGUGUCACAAAUCCAAACCCAACCGAAUAUGUCAAAUCGGUCGAAGUGACCCCAACUACCUCAAACAUUGGCAUCCUAUACAUGUUGGUUUUGUAGGUGGAGUCCAUAACCAAAACCGUUGGAAAAUUGUUAAACAACUUAACGGAUGUUGGAUGAGCCCAAAAGAUAUCUUCGAUUGUAGUACUUUCACUUUGUGUUCUUGAGUAAUAAGUAUAGUUGUGCUCCUCCAACAUAAAGAUUAGAUAUUGCAACGGCUUCUUGUCACCUCUAUUUGUCUUCCAUAUUUGUUGACGUUCAUUGUACACUUGCUUCAUAUUUGUCAUGCAAUGUGGUAUUUUGUUCUUCAAAUGUAUCAAAAAAUUUCUUGGAAGCAUCUUGCUCUUGGUCAAGUCACGUACAAUCUUCUUGUCGUCCUCCUUUAAUCUACCGGCAAGAAUGUGUCCUUCUAAAGCCGGCUCCAUCGCAUGGUUGUGAACUCCAUUAAGAAUGUUCAAUCCCCAUUCCUUUGUUUGCUUACUUUGAUAUCCACUAAUCAUGAACAAGCACCCACAUUUUCUUGAGCCCGUUCUCGCAUGCUUUGGUUUUUUUUCCGGCACUUUGUGAGCUCCACUCCUUUCACACACUAGGCGGAACAUUGGAUUGAUCAAGUUUGAUCUUUGUGUAACUAUUGUAAAUCCCGCCUUAUUUGCUGACGACGCACCCACUCAAGCAAUUCAUCUCUAUCUUUCGACUUAACGUCUUCUGAAAAAAAAACCUAGCCGUGUCGACCUCAUGGGCUUGAAGUGGGAGGACACCGGAGCCGCCAACAUACUUUGAAGCUUCAACAUGGACGGAAGCUCCAUCAAUGUUUGGUUUCGCUUCAACCUUAGGCGGUUUGACAUCUCCGGAAAUUUCGACAAAAUUUUGUUUUGUCUCUCCCGAAACAUCUUCCGCAUUCUCUACCAUUACUAUAAUUAUACAACACAUAAAUAUGAAUUAACAACUAACUAAUGCAUAAACAUCAAUGCCAUAAUAAAUUAAAAUAAAAACAAAACAAAAAAACAAAAGGAUUUUUUUUUUGAAAAAAUGGCAGUAGCUCCCAUUUUUUCGUUGUGAAAAUUUUUCACAAGAGUUCCUCGGCACCUUACUACCGAGGUUUUCCUCGGCAGUUAACUGCCGAUGAUUCCCAUGACAGUGUUCUAUGUAAUUGAUGUAGAUACCCAUAAAAAACCAAAAAAUGAACGGAUUAAAAUGCUCAAUACCUGUUUUUUUACGUCAAAAGUGUGUUGAUACCUCCUAUGCUUGAUAAUUGAAUGAUUUUGGAUCAAGAAUUGAUGAAAAAAAUAUUGGAUUUUGGGAUUGAAUGGAGGUGGAAAUGAAGUUGAUGAUGAAAAUAAUAUGUAAGGGGAGCAGGUGGCUGUUUCAUCUGAUGAAACAUUUCCUCGACAGUUAACUGCCGAGGGGGCAAAAACGUCAUUUACUCGUAUGGCACAGCCUUAUCAAAUGUGUGAACAGCAAUUCUCAUGAAUGUAUGGCGGCAUUUAACAUGGGAAAGUGUAAAACUUUCCCACCAUGGAAAAGUUCACUUUAGCCAUUAGAUUAAUCUGGGAACACAAUCUUAUCAUACAUUUCCAACAUCAAAUUAUUUUUUUACACCUUCCACCACCCUUUUCUCUCCUUCCUCCCCACCACCACCAGCAGCAUCAAGCAACCUGUAAUACAUUGUUCUAUAAAAAAAAAUCUGAAAAGCAAAAUUAAAGGACUGGGAGAAAAUGGGAUCGAGCCACCAUUCAAACAGGUGCACAAUGUUCAUCCGCAGAAAGGUAAAAGUGCCACGAUGCAGAUGUGUUUUUUGGUUUUUUUUAUAUAACAAUGUAUUCCAAGAUUAUUUCUUUUCAGUUUUGAACUUAGGCAGUGUUUUCUAUAAGCUGUAAAAAUUGAUCUUAUCCUUCUUGAUUAAAAAAUCAAGUGACCCAUCCUCCAUGUUAUGCCUAAAUUUGAAACACCCAUAAAAUAAUCUAUAGUAGCGACGUUAUGAAAUUAUAUUCCCACUCAAAUAAAUAGUUUAAUUGUAAUUAGUAUUUAAGGUUAAUGGUGUUUUACCUCCUGUAAUAUAGGUCAUUUUUUAUUUUUCCCCUGUAAAAUAUUUUUUUUGAUUUACACCCCUGUAAAAUAUUUUUUUUUUGGAAUACCCCCCUAAUAGGUCAUAAAAAAACGAAAAAAUUCUGCAAAAAAAAUAAAAUAAAAUCGUUUUUUUAUACCUAUUAGGGGGUAUUCCAAAAAAAAAAUAUUUUACAGGGGGUAAUUCAAAAAAAAAAAUUUAAAUAACCUAUAUUACAGGGGGUAAAGCACCAUUAACCCUAGUAUUUAUAAUAAUACAAAUGGAGAGAUGGUGUACUCAUAUCACAACUAGUAGAGUAUGAAAGGGUAGAAAAAGGUCAUAUUACAGUCAGCUGGGUAUUGAAGAAGAAAACAUUGUAUAUCUCAAUCUAAUUCCACUUUUUAUUCUUUUUAUCUUUCACAUAUCGAUUUAAUCCAACAACUAAAAAGAAAGCAGUAAAGAUGGCUGAAUAGAAGAAACAUCAAUGAUAAACAGACACAAAAAUACAAACACAAAUAUGAGAUCAGGGAUAAGUUUGUAAUUUUCAUCAAAGUUUAAUGGCAUAAUUGAGAUUUCAGGUGAAAAUGAAGGGUAUUUUUGCUCAUUUUUAAAUUGUUGAUUUCUGAUUAAUGAUCAAUAGUAAUUCAUCUAGUAAUGCUUGCAAUAUCUUGGACUUACAGGUACUAUUUUAUUGUCGGAAUCUUUAGCAUGCAAACAUAAUUGAUGAUAUUAUGUGAUAGUCUUAAGUGUUACAUUUUGUGGGGCGUUACACUUAUAACAAGGUAGGAUAAAAUUAGAUUAAGUGUAGUCUUGUUAAUCAUAUGAGUUGAUGAUACUAUGAGGACUGAACUUUUGAUGUCAUUGUAUGUGUUACUCAUUACAUUUUGAUGUUAUAGUAUUAACUUCACCAAAAAAAUCAUUCUUACGACUUCACCGUAGAAUUUUCCUUCAUUUAUUUGGCUGUUAUUUUUAAAAUGUUACAAUGUGCCCUUUGUCUGAUGAAGUGUAAAAGAAAUUUACACAGCACUAGCAUACUCAAAACUAGAACAAAGGAUUAAACACAGAAACUGAAUUCAUGAACUCUUCAUCGGUUUCUAGCAACGUCAUUUUCUCCGGCGAAAGACACACUUCAAGAUCAACGCUCCCUCCUCCUUCUUGACCUGGAUAUGAUGUUACUUUUCCAUCAAACUUGUUAGCAUAUCCACUUCUAACUCCCAAAGCUUUUCCCAUUCCAAAUUCACUCCCAUACAUAUUAAACCUUGGUGAACUACCCAUCAUCACAGAGUAAGGAUCAACCAACAUGUCCAUUCGAACCACUAUAGGAGACCGCAACCACUCUUCCACUAAUUGUCGCACAACUCUGUGAUCAUAUUUUGCAAUAGCUAGAUGAAUCUUCCAUGAUGCCAAUCCUAGUCCAUUCUCCAGCAACUCACCUUUUGUUGUUUCAGUGCUCACUGCGUAAACUGAAUUCCCAAAAUAUUCCUUAGGAAGAGACGGUUCCAUUCUCGUUCGGUUGUUUAUAGCCAAUUUGCAAGUCGUUCUCUGAUCAUGGUGUAGUCGACGCACACGAGUUAUAGAUCUCCAAACUAGUGCAGAUAAAGAUUGAAACGAAGAGAUUUUCGUUGUCUCGCACUCUUUGUUUGCCUUUGCUUUGAGUUUUGCUAUAAACUCUGCUGAAAAAUGGAAGAUUCUCUCUCUCAAAAUAGGUGCUUCAUAUCUAUGAAUAAACUCGUCGUGAUGUUUGAAAGGAAGGUUGAUAAUUGGACCAUAGCCUUCAGGAAACCAUCUAUUGUGAAUAGGUUGGUGUGAAAUAGGAACAGGAAUAUGAACAUCAACAUCAACAACCUUUUGAAAUAUCUCAGAAAGUGUAUUAAAGAAAUUCCAAUAAGCAGUUCCAUCACCAACAGCGUGGUUCAUGGAACAACCUAUGAAAACACCGUCUAAUAAUUCAGUGACUUGAAUGGACAACAAAGACAUGGUGUGUCCAUCAUGGUUGACUGCUCUGUGAUGGUCAAAGAAUGAAUGAACAAUGGGUGGGACAUCAAUUGGUGAGAGAAUAUCAUUGAUGGUAAUAUCUAAAGUUGCAUGAAUAAAUUUAGCUCCGAGACUGUUUUUGCAAUCGACAAAAACAGUGUAAGAAUGAGGAUCUUCGGAUUUUUUAGUAACAAGACGACCUGAGAGGGGAUAGAAAUGGAAAAGUGUGAGGGAAAGGGAGUGUUUGAGUUUGUCAAUGAAAUGCUGUUGGUUUAGUGAUGAAGUUGGUUUUUUGAAGAGAAGGGCCUUUUGGAUAUAAUUCGCAGACAACAUGACAAUAUCCCAAGGUGCUAAAUAGCAAAUUUGCUUUGAGUCUUCAAUUGGAGGAUAAGGUUUGAUAAAGCAUUCAGAAACGAGUUUUAAACAAUGGGUGCUCAUCAUUUAGAUGUGUGUUGUAGCACAGAGAGAUCUCGUUUCUUAUGAAGACAUUUUUUUUUUUAACUAUUCUUAUGAUGAUGAUAAAAAGAGUCGGCUGCCAAAAUUGAAUAAGAAAGAAGGUUCGUCGAAGUUGUUGUGAGUAGAACGUGAAUCCCACUCAAAAAAGGAAUAACCACCUACCCUGCUUUUUUUAAAGAAAAUCCACCCUGCUUUUAUUAUUGCUUAAUUUUUAAAUAUAGAUUCAACAAAAUGAGGAUCAAAUGUUCAUCUAUCAUUGCCACAUACACAUGAUAGAUGCAGGGUGAUAAUACAUUAGAACCUAUAGCACCUAUUGCUGAAAUCACAGCUUAAAAAUGUUAACUGAAAUGUGAAGUAUUGGUCCGCUAAUGUAAAAUGUGACGGCCACAUUUCGUCAGGAAAAAAAAAAAAAACACAUUUAGAUCAAUGAAAUCUUCUUGAUGGUUAUUUUGUGGUGUCGGCUUUAUGAAUAAUAGGCCUCUUUGGAUGUAGUGCCUAAAUGACAGAGAAAUAUUCCUCUCGGAAACACAUUUUCAGUAAAACACAAUAAAAUUUGCACCAUACAGUUUGAUAAUGUCUGUCUAAACGAUAAUAUUUAUAGAAGACAACAAAACACAAUUUCCUUGAUUAUUAAAUAUAAAUAAUCGGCAUAUCUUAGCUUAAUACAAACGUAUUUUAAAAGAUAUAUAUUGUUGGUUUUGGUAAAUGAAAACAGGAAAUGUGUAUUGUAGGUAAAACACCAAAAUCUCAAUUAGAGUUCAUUAUUAGGCUGUUAUUUUUUAAAUGUUACAAAGUGCCCUUUGUAUGAUGAAGGGUAAAAGAAAUUUACCACUCGCAUUCCCAUUAAACAGCACAAUAGCAUACUCAAAGACUAGAACAAAGGACUACACACCGACGCCGAAUUCAUGAACUCUUGAUCUGUUUCCAGAACCAUCAUUUUCUCAGGUGAAAGACACACUUCAAGAUCAAUGCUCCCUCCUCCUUCUUGACCUGGAUAUGAAGUUACUUUUCCAUCAAAUUUGUUAGCAUAUCCACUUCUAACUGCCAAUGCUUUUCCCAUUCCAAAUUCAUUCCCAUACAUAUUAAACCUCGGUGAACUACCCAUCAUCACAGUAUAAGGAUCAAAAAACAGAUCCAUUCGAUACACAAAAGGCGAACGUAACCACUCUUCAACCGAGUUUCGCACCACUUUAUCAUCAUAAUUUGCAAUAGCCAGGUGAAUCUUCCAUGCUGCCCAUCCUAGAUCAUUUUCCAGCAAUUCCCCUACCGUUGUUUCAGCCCUCACUGCGUAGAUGGAAUUCCCAAAAUAUUCCUUAGGAAGAGGUGGUUCCAUUCUCGUUCGGUUGUUUACGGCCAAUUUGCAAGUUGUUCGUUGACCUUGUUGUAACUGACGUGCACGCGUUAGAGAUCUCCAAACUAGUGCUGAUAAGGAUUGAAAAGAAGAGAUUUUGUUUGUAUCAGACUCUUUGUUAGCUUUUGCUUUAAGUUUCGCAAUAGACUCUGCUGAAAAAUGAAAUAUUCUCUCUCUCAAAAUAGGUGUUUCAUAUCUAUGAAUAAACUCGUCAUGAUGUUUGAAAGGAAGGCUGAUGAUUGGACCAUAACCUUCUGGAAACCAUCUAUUGUGAAUAGGUUUAUGUGAAAUCGGAACAGGAACAUGAACAUCAUUUUGAAAUAUCUCAGAAAAUGAGUUAAAGAAAUUCCAAUAACCAGUUCCAUCACCAAUACAAUGAUUCAUGGAACAACCUAUAAAAACACUAUCCAAUAAUUCAGUAACUUGAAUGGACAACAAAGACAUGGUGUGUCCAUCAUGGUUGACUGCUCUGUGGUGGUCAAAGAAUGAAUGAACAAUAGGUGGCACAUCAACAGGUGAGAGAAUAUCAUUGAUGGUGAUAUCUAAAGUUGCAUGAAUAAAUUUAGCUCCGAGACUGUUUUUGCAAUCAACAAAAACAGUGUAAAAAUGAGGGUCUUCAGAUUUUUUAGUAACAAGACGGCCUGAGAGGGGAUGGAAAUGGAAAAGUGUGAGGGAAAGGGAGUGUUUCAGUUUCUCUACCAAGUUCUCUAUGAAAUGUUGUUUGUUUAGUGAUGAUGAUGUUGGUUUUUUGAAGAGAAGACCCUUUUGAAUAUAGUAUGCAGAUAACAUGCUAAUAUCCCAAGGUCCUAAAUAGCAUAUUUGGUUUGAGUCUUCGAUUGGGGGACAUGGUUUGAUAAAACAUUCAGAAACAAGGUUUAGAGAAGGAGUGUUCAUUUUUCAGAUGGCAAAAGGACACAGAUGUGUGUUACAGAGAACUUGGUUCUUCUUGUUCUUAUAAAGAUUAUUAGUAAUAAAAAAUUAUUAAACCAAAUGAUAAUGCAUUGUCUGUAUAUAUAUGACAAAUAAAUACAAUAUGAACGACCGUGCCGCACGCUCCCACAAUCGACAGAUACAAUAUUGUUUUGUACUAUGAUAAUACAAUAUGGUUCUUCAGUUCACCGCCAAUAAACAUUAUUCUGGUGUGAGAUCACACUGCCAAUAAACUAUGCUUGUUUCAAUUUACAAGGAUAUGUCUUUAUCUUGACACUUGGACUUUAUGGUAAUUAGAGAUAUAGUCACCACAAAUGAUUGUCUUGACAGUUGGAUUCUUAUGCUUAAAAUUUUUCCAAAAAACCAAAGGUUUGCUGACAAUAUUUUAUAGUAUAUUAAAAAAGACAUAUUUUCACUAUUACUGUAAAAAUUAAGAAUAUGAAACACUUACGUUUGAAACCAAUUAGAUUGUACUAUUACAACAACUUAGUCAAAUCAUUCAAUGGUUGAGCUAAGAACUAUGUUUUAUUUUACAUGCAGGGUUUUAGACUCGAGAUUAUCGUUAAGAGAGAGCUCUCUUCUCUUGUUACCGUCGAGAGAGCUCUCUUCAUAUUUUACAAAAGCUGUGUUAGAAUUUAAUCCGGUAUGGUCCCAAUAAAUAGGUCUCUAUUUAGUUUACACAGAUAUCUAUUUAGUUGGACUAUAGUUGUAGAGAGAGAGCUCCCUUCAUGUUUUACAGAAAAGUUGCUCUUCUUUUAGAUGGUAAAAAGAGAGCUCUCUUCUCUUAUUACAUUUUUCUUUGACUAAUUCUGUUGAAGAUGAUAAAAAGAGUUAACCGUCAAAAUUGAACUAUGGUCAAUAAAGAAAUAACCAAACGUUUUCAAUAAAGAAUAUUCUUACUCUGUUAGACUUUUCCUCUUGGAAGUGCUUCAACAAAAUUUUCCAAGAACACCACUUGUAACCCUCCCUUUUUUUAUUAUUGCUUAAUUUCUAAAUAUAGAUUCAGGAGGAAGAAAAUAAUACAUUAGAACCUACCUACUGCUGAAAUCAUAUUAUCAUCAUCAUAUCAUAAUUUAAAAACGUUACUGAACUAUGAAGAAUAAUGUAGAGUGACCGCCAAAUUUCAUCCAAAAAAAAUAUCUAUAUAUUUAGAGUAUGUUUGGAUGAGGGAAUGUUUUGAGGUAACUAAUGUUUCGAGAGAAUUUAAAUAAUUACAUUGUUUGGAUGAUAAUUUGGAGAAUUUUAAAAAUAAUAAAAAUUUAUGAAUUAUUUUGUUUAAGUUAGGUUUACGGAUUUCAAAUAAAAUCUAUAAAAGUUAAGAAUUUCAAAUUUAUUCAUUCUUAUAAUUGUUCAAAUUUUACGUUUUGGUCCUCAACUUUUUCAAUUUGACCCAAUAAAUUUUCAAAAAAAAAUUAAAUUUGACCCCUGUAUUUUGGAAAAUACAAAUGUACCCCUCAAAAUUUAUAAAUUGACCACUAAUUUCAAAUUUUAAAUUUGGCCAAAAAAAAUUAAAUUUAUAAAAGUUGCUCAAAAAUGAUUACAAAUUGAUAAUGAAAUUUUUUAUUACUCAAUCCAAACAAAAAUAUUUAAAAAUGAAUGUCAUUUAAUUGAAUCAUUUGAAUUGCUUAACAUUCUAACUUAAAAAUUUUCAAUUACCUCAUUCAAACACACAUAUGGUGUCGGCUUUUUUAAUAAUAGGCCUCUUAAAUGUUGUGCAUAGAUUACGUAGGAAUUUUCCUUUGCAAAACACAGUUUAAGAUACAUAAACUAACAAUACAUUUCGAGUAAAAGACAAAAAAUUGUCUCAAUAUCUAAAACCAAGCCAUGUUUUGCAAGUCAUCUUAUGUAAGGUGAAAAUAUAUGUUUUUAAAAGGUGAAAAUAUUGAUUUCAUUCAAGUUCUUAAAAUACAUCGGAAGAUUUUAUUUAUAGCUAAGUAUCAAGAUGGAAAGCACAAGGCAAGAUUUGAAAACAUGGUUUCAAGAAUCUUACGAGACUUAGACUAACACAACCAAAACUACAGAAAUUAAGCUCUACUUAGCCUAACAUCUUAUCCAAUUAGCUUCCAUGAAAAUAUGGUUUCAAGAAGUGUAAAUGAAAUUUACACCUCGCGUCCCCAUUAAACAGCACUAUAGCAGAGUCAAAGACUAAAACAAAGGACUAAACACCGAAACUGAGUUCAUGCAGCGCCGGCUCUAAGAUUUUUGGUGUCAUGGACAAAACUAUAAAUUGUGCCCUUUUAAUCAUUUAAAUAUUUUUCUUCUUAUAUUUUUUGUUGCAAAAUAUUCAUUUAUAAUCAAAAUUAUCUAAAAAUAUUUUUCAAUAGAAUUAAUCAAAGCGAAUUAAAAAUAUUUGCUCCCUCCUCCUUUUUGACCUGGAUAUGAAGUUACUUUUCCAUCAAAUUUGUUAGCAUAUCAACUUCUAACUGCCAAUGCUUUUCCCAUUCCAAAUUCAUUCCCAUACAUAUUAAACCUUGGUGAGCUACCCAUCAUCACAGUAUAAGGAUCAAAGAACAGAUCCAUUCGAUACACAAUAGGAGAACGUAUCCACUCUUCAACAUAAUUUUGCACCACUUUAUCAUCAUGAUUCGCAAUAGCCAGAUGAAUCUUCCAUGCUGCCCAUCCUAAAUCAUUCCUGAACAACUCCCCUACUGUUGUUUCAGCACCAACUGCGUGAAUCGAAUUCCCAAAAUAUUCAUUUGGAAGAGGCGGUUCUAUUCUAGUUCGGUUGUUUAAAGACAACUUACAAGUUGUUCUUUGACCGCAUUGUUGUUGACAUGCACGAGUUAUAGAUCUCCAAACUAGUGCUGAUAAAGAUUGAAACGAAGAGAUUUUGUUUGUAUCAAACUCUUUGUUAGCUUUUGCCUUUAAGUUUCGCUAUAGACUCUGCUGAAAAAUGGAAUAUCCUCUCUCUCAAAGUAGGUGCUUGAUAUCUGUGAAUAAACUCGUCGUGAUGUUUGAAAGGAAGGUUGAUAGUUGGACCAUAACCUUCUUUUUUUGACACAAGGACCAUAACCUUCUGGAAACCAUCUUUUGUGAAUAGGUUUAUGUGAAAUCGGAACAGGAACAUGAACAUCAUUUUGAAAUAUCUC